UCAGGCUCUUGCCACUUGGGCCCAAGGUACAGGGUUCAAGCCUUAUUCACUACCCACCACCAUGUACACCUGGCCCAUCUUCCGUUUCACACACCUAAGUGUCAGGUCCCGCUCCCAUCUUCUCUCUUCCGGUCGUCAGGUCCCGCUCCCAUCUUCUCUCUUUCUGAAAGUGCUGCCGCUUGCUAGGUCCCGCCUGUGUGAGUUCCCGCUCACAAACCUUAAACUGACAACGAUGAUGUCAGCACGCCUGCGACGGGACUAUUUGGACUCCUUCUUAAAGGAGAAUGUGC